rnacentral:other from 1 species
ACCGGCCUGCAAAGCAGGUGCGGUGAUUAACGUCGGUUGAACCUACAUUCAUUGAACCAGGGAGCUUGACUCGUCAAUUGGCUCGGUGUGCAGUGUCCGCCAGUCCGGAAUGCCUAAAGAGCCACGGCAGGUUCCCGCCGUCUUAGGACGGGUUCACCGGCGCAUCACUCACGGCCCAGUGGGUCGGUC